CUGUAAUAGAAAACAAUAAAUGUACUAUGAAUUUAUGCAAAAACCAGAUUCAAGUAGUCAGUUCUAUUAAACAUUUGGUGAAUUAAUAUAUCAGACUGGUAUCUUCAUACAUACAAUUUAUGCAAAUAUGACUUUGUUUAAACGCUUAUUGCCUCUUAUUAACCAAAUUAUGUUAGAAACAAAGUAAGAGAUAAUAUUUGUGUGAAAAGAACUCUCCGUUGACCAUUUCAGGCAUAAAUUGUGAACUUUUAAAGAUAAAUAGGCAUACAGUAAGAUGUGGACUGGAGACAGAGGCAGGAUUGUAUUCUUCAUAUAAUCUUGAAUGCUGUAAUAAUUAACUACUAAAUUUUUCAUUUAUAGUAUUCUGAAAUGCUUUCAAUAUGUUAUCAAAUAGUUUCAUACAUGUUCUAGGCAUUUCAUGUCAGAAAACAUGUACAUAGGGUAAGCUGGUAUUAAUUUAAGUCUUGUUUUUAAAUUCUUAUUAAAUUGAAACAGGAGUGGGGGUAAAAAUAUACUGUAAAAGAAAAUGAAGGAUAGAGCAUUUGCAGUGAUUUCUUUUAUUCUAUGAUUCUGUUAAAUAACAAUUGUUGUGAAAAAAACAUGUUUGUUUGUUUGCGUUCUGGUUCCCAGAUAUAAUCUCUAUGUUUCGGCAUAAAGACAUAACUUUGGAAUGUUACCGUGAUGAAUAACAUUAAUAGUGGCCGCCUUGAAAUCUGAAGAAGAUGCAAAGUGAAGGGAGGGGUAGUACAGAAUUUUAGUAUAAGUUUAAAAUCUUAGAUUUUCGGGGCGUAUAAAUGUUGGAAAUAUGCUGCACAUCCCAUUUUUUUUACCUUUAAAGAAAAUAGAUGUGUAUAUGAGCUUUCCAUUCUAGGAUAUAUUUUCAACGAAACUUCAUAGUAAAAGAGGUACAGUUUUAGCCGUAACAGGAGUUCUUUUGGGAAAUUGCAUUGUCUAUAUUUACAGAAAUGCAACCUAUAGACAUAUCUGGAGGAAGAAAAAAUGACACAUUUUAUUGAAUUAAUGAAAUAGUAGUGCAUACAUAAAUGCUACCGAUUUAUAAUUUUCUAUAAUUUUCUAUGCAAAGAAUUGUACCUCGCCAUUGUUUCAUACAUGUAACAGUGAAUUUGUAAAAUCAUUGAUUUUGUAAAAUCCCUGGAAUGUUUAGUGAUUUUGCAAAAUCACUUUUAAUGUCAGUGAUUUUUUUAAUAUACCUGAAAUUGCUAGUGAUUUUAUAAAAUCACUGGACAUAUUUCUAGGGUUUUUGUAAAAUCCCUGAUUACAGGUUUAAACUUAAUAUAUGUAUAACAGUUUUUUUUUCUUAAUAUCACUAACAAUAGUGAGAAGAGGGCGUCUAACGACCGUCGGUAAACACCUCUUAACUAUCAAACAUUUUCCGAAACCUAGACCCAUAUGAGCAAGAUCAACUUUAUAUUGAUAUUUAUAUACGUUGAUGAACAGACCAAUGCUUUAAAAAUAUAUUUUUUUAUAAUAAACACUUCUAGGUAAAACUAUUCUACAGGAAUAAAGAAGAAAAGGCAUAUGACUUGAUAUUAUUACUACAGUUUACUUAUUUUGCAUGAUAAGUUUGAGUGACAUCUACUGUGUUUUACGAUUUUUGUUUUCACAGUCUCCACUUUGAAGAACUUCGAACCUACAUUAAACAAAUAUUUACCUUUAAUUUGAUUUAAAUCUAAAGAGUGGAAGAAGUGUAGAAACUUGUUUAAAGUUUUAUCACUUUGCAAGUACAAAACAAAGUUCAUGUGUUUGUUCAUUUUUAUUACUAUUAGAUUGUUGUAUGUGGAUCCAGUUUUAUAAAACUAAAUAAAUACAUUUAAAAAUAAUAAUAAUGCAUUUGAAUAUUCGCAUAAAACAAAAUGAUUGGUUAUUGUUAUGUAAAUUCCAAAGUUAAAUUGUAUAUAUGUCGAGAAGGUUUGAUACGUUUUUUUGUGAUCUGAUGGUCAGUAAUAAUGUCUUAAAGGAAACUCCAAUCAAUACAAUACGUAUUUUUUAUCGCAUCGAUCUUUCAGCUAUACAAUAUGAAUGCGUAUAAUCAUAUAGAAAAACAAUAAUUGUUUUUAAGUAUCUUGAUCAAUUUCGAGUCUGAAGUUUAUUGAACGGGGGAGAGCACUCAUCCAAAAUGAUUAUUGAAUAAAAUGAUUCACUAAGUGUGAAAUAGAUCACAACUCAUGGUUUAGAUCGACGUAAGUAAGUGAUUUUUGUAAUAACUACAAUGAAUAUAGAAAUAGUUUGUUUAUUUAAUCAUUUUGGUAAUUGAAAGUUCAUUCUAUGCUGAACGAAAAUAUUAUAUUCCAGCUCAUCCCUUUCGAAAUUAUAUUCAAAAUGUCAUAUUGUUACACAUACAUUAAUUGAACAAUCAACAUUUCGUAUAACAUUGAAGUAAAUAUACUAAGAAUCUCAAAUACGGAAGAUUAAUUAACGUAACUUUUAUUACGUAUUAAAAAGUUGCUGCAUGGUAAAAGUGGGUCAUGAUGUACGGAUUAAAACGCGUGAAUAUAGUGUGUGUGUGUGUGUGUAUUAUAGGAAAUACUGAAAGAGGAAUUAUGGUGAUUUUGUCUCGCCUCGAUUAAUUCGAAAAAGCGAGACAAAGGCGUGCUGUUCCCAGACCUGGUGGAAACAUCAUCAAUAUGCUAGUUUUUAUUAGGAGAGUUCUAAGGAAAGUACUUGUGAUAGGUCAAUGAUAUUUGUUAUGUUGUUGAACUAGCAUUAGCAAAUAUCAAUUCCCAGAACACAAUUGGUCCUAGCCUUCUCGGCUAUGGUAUAUUGAAGUUAAAACUUAGUUUAUAUGUGUAUGUUGUUAUGUCAGUUCAAUAGGAACCACUAGUGAAAUGUCCUAGCAUGAGGAUGUGUAAACGUUGGCUUAUCUUAUUUCAAUGACAAUUACUUGGUCCCUCAACCUCAUUUAUGAUGCAUUGCAUGUGAAUCUUAUGCAUAAUUUACAUGUUAAAGUUUAUGAUUAGGUCAGUAAAAGAUCUUCACUAUAUUGAGUCAAUAUCAGUGACAAGUCCCAUGUCAAUGGAAAUGUUAUGUCCCGCUCAUCUUUAUGGUUCAUUGACUUUGAAAUUUUUGCAUAUUUUACAUAUCUUAAUUUGUGUUUCGGUUAAUUUAAAAUGAACCGAUUAAGUCAAUGGUAUUUAAUAUUCAGUGUUGUCAACAUGUGUAGUUUUUAUUUCGGUUGAGGUAAUUUGACACUGCACCUUCAGUCAUGGUUCAUUGACUUUGAAUGCAUAGUUUUACAUGUUAACAUUUUGCCAUUUCAAUUGCAACAUUUGCAUUAUAUUACCAACAUUCCAUUUGAGUUCGAGUUUGUUUUAUAUUUUUUUUUAACAUAAAGACGAGACGUAUCUUGGAUAACUGUUUUUAUUUAUCCUUUUUUAUGGAGAAGUGUUGAUGAAAUAUUUGAAGUAAAAAAGAAAAUUAUACUUAAAUGCUAUAUUUAAAUGGAAGCCAAUGUUAUCUGUUAUAUUGUGUUUUAUUUACGAUGAAAUUCAGCGCAUGCAUAUGUCGUUAUUAUCUUAUGUAUUUGAUAAAGAAGCUUUUAGUUUUUGGUCACAAUGUAUAUGGUGCUUUUGGUGCCUUUUAAGAUUUUACGCUAACCAAUACAUAUGGUUUACGCUUCCAUUUAUUGAAGAAGAUUGUAUGUUGAUGUUUAACAUAAUUUUUGUGUGAUAAUUAUACUCAAACUCUUGAAAAAUACAUUCUUUAUUCAUGUCUGAAUCAUUGAAAUACAAAUAUUCUCUUACUGCAUUUUCUGUUCAGAAAAUAAAUGAAAAUCUUCAAAUAAAACGUUCCAUUUCUUACUAGAUGACCACGUGCAAAUCAGCAAUAUUUUAGGCCAAUUUUUUUCAAAACUGGACAGGUACAUUAGAGAUCCUUGAUUUAACAUACAAACUCAAACGUUUUAAUCAUUCAAACAACUAAUUUGAAACAGUUUAUUUUUUUAAACAAAAUCAUUUCUAAACAGUAAAAUCAUAAGCCGUGCUCACAGUACCACAUAUAUAAAGGCAUACAUAUACAAUAGUUAUCAAAGGUACCAGGCUUAUAAUUUGUAUACGCCUAACGCGCGUUUCGUCUACAUAAGACUCAUCAGUGACGCUCAGAUCAAAAUAGUUGAAAAGAACAUGUUAUUCGAAAAACAAUAUAUUUCAAAGAAUAGAAUGUAAGUUUAUUCCAUCACAAUCCUGAUCAUGUUUAAGUUGUAUCUUCCAGGGAUAUUAUCCUGUAUGAAAAAGGAAACUUGUUGUAAGUUUUACUUUGUAGAACUAUCAACAUUUACGAUGUAUUUUCUAUACAAUAUAGCAAAGACUAAUAUUAAACAGAUGACAUACACAAAGUCAAAGUCAAAGUCAGCAUUAGUUUGCCAUUUAUUUCAAUUGAACAGUGAAUUCUUAAUUCCGACAAUUAUCGAAAUCUGACCAUAUUACCAAUACACUUUGGUAUGGUCAUGACAUUAUAGACAAAAUUUAACAACACAAUCUUGAAAAUGAAACAGAAACACUCUGAUUUGAUUUCGGAGAAUUGGAAACGCUGAUCAUGAUUAAAUACAUGAUCGUUUUACUUUAGUGCUGACCUCUUGUUUGAUAUUAUGAAAACUAAUCGUCUUUAGGCAUUAUAAAUGCAAUUUCAAUGUGUAGUGUAAAUCAUUCUGCAAUAGAAGUUACAGUAAUUACUUUUAUUAUUUAUCUAUAUUGUUUUCUGUGAUGCCUGUCAAAAUAGAAAAUUAUAUCUAUACAAAGAAACAUGUAUGAAACUGACAAAUUUCAGACACACAUUUUGAUAAUUAAUCAGCAUAACAACAAUCAUUAUUUUUUUAACAAAUUUUCAUUUCAGUAGAAUAAAUGAAAAACAAAGUGAUGUACACAAAAGCUGAUGAAUUGAAAGGAUUGUAUGAUGACAAUCUGAUUAAAAACCAUAAAUUAUAUUUUCCCUAAUCAUGCUAAUUAUUUCAAUGAUAAAUUAUAGUUCUAAUUGAUUUCAACAUCUCAUGUGCAUUCCCAUGCAAGUUUAAUAAAGUCAGGACCGUCAUUAGUAUGACUGAAUGCACAGUGCCAUGUAUGCCAUAUUUUCAACUAGUUUCUUUCUUUUUGUGUGUAAUACGUUAUCUAAUGAAAGAGGCAUCUAUGGAAUUAGGGUUUCAUGUACAACCCGAGAGAUCUGAAGAUUCAUUCUCAAAAUAUACUUAUUAGCAAUGGCAAGUCUUUGCUUACAACAUGAAAUUUGAAUCAUGACAUGUACCACAUUUUUAGUUCAUUUAUAUGUUUUGGAAUUUAGUAUGGCGUCCAUUUUCACUGAACUAGUACACAUUUUUUUUAGGGGGGCAGCUGGGGCCCGCUUCCGGUUGGGGGAUUUUCUCGCUGCGUUGAAGACCGAUUGGUGGCCUUCGGCUGUUUUCUGCUCUUUGGUCGGGUUGUUGUCUCUUUGGCAUAUUCCCCAUUUCCAUUCUUAACGUUACCAUAGUUGUUUUAGAGGGAGGUGCGGUCAGGGUGAUCGGUCUUUUUUAAAGUUCAUCUCAUUACGUUGCCGUAUUGAUGGGCACCCUUUUGAAAAAUAUUGGACUCGUUUCUAUGCAUCGAUAUAAUUUUAGUCAAUGUUAAAUACUGAUAUAUUCAGUAAAAAAAUUAUGAUGUGAAUGAGAUAUUUAUACAUUUAAGUAAUGCUUUAUUUUAGAGACUGUGAAGUCUGUGGGAGUAGAAUAUGGUUCGAUUACAAAGAGGAGGAGCUACUGAAAUAAGAUGUAAUUUAUUUCAACGAUAACAUUUUAAAGUUUUUGUUUUAGCUAGAAAACAGUGGAAUACUAAAAAAAGACAACUCUGAUUUCAAAACACUUGAGUUAACUUUUCGGGAAAUAUCUACACUCGAUCAUUUUGAUUAACAGUACACUUUGAAGUCUUUUUAAAGUCAGAAUGUUCUUAUGUAGUGCAUUUAUUAUUUUCAAAACCUUCAUUUGUUGUAAGAUGUCCCUAGAGGUUAGAUCUUUUUCGAAGAAUACAUUAAGCUUAUUUCAACAUGUUAUAUUGUGAAUAAACAUAUACAAUCUGG